rnacentral:rRNA from 1 species
GGACCAGCCAUGCCGCGUGCAGGAAGACGGUCCUAUGGAUGGUAAACUGCUUUUGUACGGGAAGAAACACUCCGACGUGUCGGAGCUUGACGGUACCGUACGAAUAAGGAUCGGCUAACUCCGUGCCAGCAGCCGCGGUAAUA